rnacentral:rRNA from 1 species
AAUGCGGUGAGAAAGCUAGAGAAGAAAUUUGAGGGGUUAGAGUUCCAUCAUAUUCCCCGACUGAAAAAUCAAGCGGCUGAUGAUUUGGCAAAAAUAGGUUCCAAGAGAGAAGCCAUUCCCAGUAAUGUGUUUUUGGAGCACAUCCACACACCAUCAGUUCAAGAGGAUCCUUUCACCGAAGAAGCCCCACAGCCAAAAAGUGUCACAGAUCUGACUGAAGUUGAAGUUCCUGCCGUGGUCGACCUGAUCAUGGAAGUUUUGGCCAUCACUCCCGACUGGACAGUGCCAUACAUCGCAUAUAUCCUAAGGAAAGAACUCCCAGAGAACGAG